rnacentral:rRNA from 1 species
UACCAGCACCCCGAGUGGUCGGGACGAUUAUUGGGCCUAAAGCAUCCGUAGCCGGUUUUACAAGUCCUCCGUUAAAUCCAGCUGCUUAACAGAUGGGCUGCGGAGGAUACUAUAAGACUAGGAGGCAGGAGAGGCAAGCGGUACUCAGUGGGUAGGGGUAAAAUUCGUAGAUAUUCGGAAGAACACCAGUGGCGAAGGCGACUGACUGGACAAGUAUUGACGCUGAGGUGCGAAAGCGUGGGGAGCAAACAGG